rnacentral:rRNA from 1 species
GACGAGAAGCUUGCUUCUCUGAUGUUAGCGGCGGACGGGUGAGUAACACGUGGAUAACCUACCUAUAAGACUGGGAUAACUUCGGGAAACCGGAGCUAAUACCGGAUAAUAUUUUGAACCGCAUGGUUCAAAAGUGAAAGACGGUCUUGCUGUCACUUAUAGAUGGAUCCGCGCUGCAUUAGCUAGUUGGUAAGGUAACGGCUUACCAAGGCAACGAUGCAUAGCCGACCUGAGAGGGUGAUCGGCCACACUGGAACUGAGACACGGUCCAGACUCCUACGGGAGGCAGCAGUAGGGAAUCUUCCGCAAUGGGCGAAAGCCUGACGGAGCAACGCCGCGUGAGUGAUGAAGGUCUUCGGAUCGUAAAACUCUGUUAUUAGGGAAGAACAUAUGUGUAAGUAACUGUGCACAUCUUGACGGUACCUAAUCAGAAAGCCACGGCUAACUACGUGCCAGCAGCCGCGGUAAUACGUAGGUGGCAAGCGUUAUCCGGAAUUAUUGGGCGUAAAGCGCGCGUAGGCGGUUUUUUAAGUCUGAUGUGAAAGCCCACGGCUCAACCGUGGAGGGUCAUUGGAAACUGGAAAACUUGAGUGCAGAAGAGGAAAGUGGAAUUCCAUGUGUAGCGGUGAAAUGCGCAGAGAUAUGGAGGAACACCAGUGGCGAAAGCGACUUUCUGGUCUGUAACUGACGCUGAUGUGCGAAAGCGUGGGGAUCAAACAG